UGAGCUGCAAAUGGAGCAAAAUUAUAGAUGUAACAGCAGAAUCCAUCAUGGUAUAUAUAUAUAUAUAUACAGCAAUAUAACUUGAACCAUUAAAUACUUAUUGGAAUACAAUAUGACGUGAAAGUGUAAUAUAUUUAUGCAUGAUAGAUAGAUAGCUAGAUAGCUAGCUAAAUAAAUAAAUAAAUAAAUAAAUAAGAAGCAGUUUAUGUCAGUCACAAGGAAAUUGAGCGGGUCAAAAUGUGCCUAAACAGAAGUCAAUACGGGUGUCAGCUUUGCCUAGCAGAGGGUGAGGCUUCCUGGGCUCAAAAUCACUGUGGCUCCAGGCUUUGGGCCUGUGCUGCAUGUAGUGUUAAAGCAUGAGCAUGGCUCGGUUACAUAUGUAACCCUCACGUACCCUUUUAGUGGGUCACUCUCUACAUUACGUCGGUGACCAACGAAUUAGGAUCCCUACCAAAGGGCCAUGGAUCCUGCCCCUUCCAGUGACCUGUGCGAGCCGCCUGUGCCCCUUUUUGGUGUAGGCAGGGGCUCAUAACAAGAAGACCAGUCAACGUUAUUGUAGCACUACCCACUCAGUGAGAUUGGAUAACACUGGGAAAACAUACCCAUUCUACUUGGAACAGAAAUGUUGUGGAAGCCCCAUCCUUCCCGAAAGAGGUUUCAGAAGCACUUACACUUAUGAACAACCAUUUAGGUGCAUAUGGAAGAAUAGAGGUGAUUGUAACCCUAUUGGAAAAUGGCAGAGAGUCUGCCAGGGAAACACAGGCUUUAAGGCUAUACCGUGGACUUUACACAUAUGGGAUCUACUUAGGUCUCUACAUAUGGAACCCAGUCCUCUACCGGUUCUCAUGGAUUCAUUGAGGGGCUGGUGCCGGAUGUUCCGCCACGUCUGGCUGCCAAGGGGAUGGAGGAGCUUGACAGGGUCUACAGUAUGGACUAUCUGGAGCAGUUUUAGCAAGCUGACACUAAACCAGGGCCUCUCAGCGCUUCUAUCCGUUUGAGGUGAGAAUACAGGAGGAUACUGGCUCAACACGAAGGCUAUAGGAAUCUAGCAAACCUGUUGGGGGUCACCCACCCCGCAGCUCUACAAAUAUCUGUCAGCGAGGCACCACGAGGAUGCAACACUUCUAGUAGAGUGUGCUUGCAACCUGAGCAGGCAGGGAACACCCUGUGCCUGAAAAGCCAGGGUGAUGGCAUCCACAAUCCAGUGGGCCAUCCUCUGCUUAGAGAUGGCCUUCCCCUUCUGCUGGCCUCCGAAACAGACAAAGAGCUGGUCUGAGGUCCUACAGCUUUGUGUCUGGUCUACAUAGCAUCUCAAGGCUCAGACGGGACAAAGCAAACAUAGGGCUGGGUCUGCCUCCUCUGGGGGCAGUGCUUGCAGGCUCACCACCUGAUCCCUGAAGGAAGUAGUGGGAAUCUUGGACAUAUAGCCAGGCCGGGACCUCAGGAUUACCUGGGAGUCAGCCGGCCCAAACUCUAGGCAUGAAUCAUUGACUGAAAAGCAUGCAGGUCCCCUAUCGCAGAAAUGGUCUGUGGCGUGGAAGGAUCAACAAAUGAAAGUACGUGACCUUCAGGUCAAUUUGCUGCAAACCAAUCUCGGAGAUGGAUGCACGCAAAGUUUUUCUGCUGUGUUUCUUUUUGAACAGUGUUUCUGCAUCAACAUGUUGAACGUUAACCAGUGAAGGUCCUGGUUCAACACACGCAGGUCCAAGAUUGGACAUAACCCACCACCUUUCUUGGGUACAAUUAAGUAGGAGCUGUAAAACCCUGUCUUCAUAUCGGCUGAAGGAACCGGCUCUAUAACAUCCUUCGCAUACUUCCUUGGUGUGAAGCGGAUGCCAGUGAACUUGGGGGGAUGCCGGUUGAACUGAAUCGCAUAGCCGAGGCUGAUGGUCCACAGAAGUUAGCAGGACGUGAUGGGUAGCGCUACCCAGGCACCCAGAUACCAUGCAAGCAGGACCAGAGGAGCCUGCUUCUGGGGCAGCGAGGUGGAACACAGGAAUCCAACUGAGCGAAGAGGGGUCUGAGUGUGCAGUGCAACGCUUACCUGGUUCUACAGUUUGGCUGAGGGUGCGAGAGUAGGGCCUUUGUUGACGCUCUCGAACCGCCUGCUGCUGACUGCUGGCGGGAGAGGAGGAUGAGUGUGGUCCUGUGUUGGUCCAUCCAUGACUCUCCGUGCCCUCUUGGGACCCAGAGACAGAGAAAACUGCCCUGUCAUCGAGAUUUUUGUAAAAGAAAAAUCUGGGGGAUGGAGAUCAUCCCCCAAAGAGCAGUUUCCUCCCUCUCUGGGUCCCCCGUCCCGGGGCCUCUUGCUCUUCCACUC
ensembl:lncRNA